GCGGCCAUUACGUCCUAUUAAAAUAAAAAAGUAUUUAUAUCAAAUAAAGGACGAAAUAUGUAAAGAAGAAAAUAAAAUAGUAUAUCUUAUUUACCAAUAUUGCGGAAUAGAAGAAAAAAUAAGAAGAUUGGAGAAGAUUCAAGAGCAUACGCGUUCAAAUCCAAAUACGGCGUCCUUUCGUUGGAAAAGGCCCAGACGCGUUACAUACCGAUCGAUGGAUCAUGGUCUUCAACCUAUUCUAGGUCUGCAAUUCUGCAUCAUCUAGAUCCCUAUCUCCGCCAGCGGCGUAGAGAAGUAGAUAUCGCUCGGUAUCCAGAUGUAAGCCUCGCUCUCCAAUAGUGCCAGCAUUCGGUUAAUUAUUUAAUACACAUAAUAUUCCGAAAAGGAACAUUAAUUAUAAUCAGAUAAAUAAUUAAGAACAUUAUAAAAGAAGUAUGACCCGGACAAGAUUACAAAAAACUACUCUGCGCUGUAAGAAAUUAUUGGUCCUCCAAAGAUGAACCCACAGACUUAACCUGCAGCUGGCGAGAUUCUUGCCAGUGGGGAACGAGGCUAAGUAUUGAAAUGGUACAAAAUAAAGUUUCCUGUUCUCUGACUGUGAUGAUUUAGCUCUCAAAAAUUGUGUACUGUACCAGCUAUAAGAAGGUAUUGUCACUUCUAAGUGAUUCUGUCCAUUUUUUGAAAUUAAAUACUGAAUCAUAAUAAAUGGCAUAAGAGGUUUAUUAAAUCUUUUAAACAUGCUGUUGACAAGUGAUGUUUUAAGAAAAUCUAGCAGAAGAAGUUUAAACUCCGGCAGCCCAGCCCGUAAGCCUGGCACUUUAAACUUCAAAGGCUCAAAUACCAAUCAUAUUUUCUAACGUAUGAUUUGCUGUUGUAUUUGUUUCAUACAAUAAAGUAUUUAUUAAACAUAACAAUAUACAAAAACCCCUGGUCAAAAGCAAGGAAGAGGAAGCAGAGCAAGACUUUCCUCUCUGCAGUCACAAUGUGGUCGCCACAGUGGUCGCACACAGCGACAUCACAACAGCCUGUGUUCAUUUAGAACAAAUUCUUAAAAGCUGUGGUUUACUUAAUUGUAUGUACCUAACCUACCUUUUUUCACAUAUAAGGAUUUUGUCUGGUCUAUCUCAUACAAAGUUCCUUUUUUAUCUGUGCCAACACCUACAAGUAUUCCGAAAUAUGAUCACUUCUGUGAAAUUGAUAGUCGAAUACUAGAAAAAUAUGUGACUGAGGUAUAUACUGUGUGUACAAAUAUAUGCCUAUGAUGACCUUAUAAAAUCAUGUUCACUUUAUAGGUACCUAUAGGCAAGAUCCAUAUAUUAAUAUAUAAGCACAUUUAGGUAGUGCAACUGAGCGGUUUUAAGUUAACAAGAUAUUAGAAUUGCCAGAAACUAAGAACACAAAAUUGUUAAAUGAGCACUAGCUCCAAGAUGUUUUACUUGAUUUCUUGAAUGUAGAAAACAUAUCUGUUUCAUGUGGAAAGAUGAGAUUUCAGUUUUUAGUCUUAACAUACCUAGACUAUUAAACUAGAUAUCUCUCUAGCUAGAUAUAUGUGCCAGACCUUUUAUGAAGUGUUUAAGAUCACAUACACACACAGACUGUUUAGAUGAUAGAUAUAUCUAUUGUUGAUACUCCUUAUAACAAAUGUUAUACUAUGUAGGUACUUAUACAGGACACACUUAAUUUUAGUCUUGGUACCAUUACCUAUGUGGAGUUAUAAUCAAAUGGAACUAGCUUCUUAGUACCUCAGAAAGCUGGCUACUAUAUAGAUUUAUUUCUUUACCUACUAGGGAAAAAAUUCAAAGUUAAUCAAAAGAUAAAGCCCUUUAUAAAUUGGUACAUUGCUAAUAUAAAUUGGUUGUUUGUAUAGUUAUAGGAUAAGUUUGGCUAUCUGUAUGUUUACACAAACGCUUUAAGGGUUAAAGAGCUGAAAAGACAAAAAUACAUACUUAAGUAUACUAAAUUCAAUAUAUUUUAAGGAAACCUAGUGUGACAUUUUUUUUGGUGGCUCAUUAAAAUAAAGAUUUAUAAAUAUACUUUCUGCAGAUAUUUACUUACUUACAGUAAUAGUUUAUUGACACGCUGGGGCGGCAGAUUAGAAUGAGUUAGCUGUUGGAUUAUGGAAGGAGUCAAAAAGAAUAUAUAUUACAUUAAAUUUGUUCAGCUUA